rnacentral:rRNA from 1 species
AUGACUGGAUCAGAUACCAGGGUCGCGGCCUGCUUGAACCCGCCCACCAUAACAGAGCUGAACGCCUCCCAAGGCCUCCCGCCAUGGAUCAGCCUCGACACAAGGGUCUACCUUGCCGACCGCCACAACUCCACCACGGCGGCAGCCGAGACAAGCAAAGGCCACGCCGUCCAGGUCUCCAUCUGCUUCGCGCACCCGCCGGCCCUCUCCUACGUGUGCAUCCACUGCCCCGGCCUCCAGCACGCCAACUUCGCCAGCGAGCCACGCGUUGUCCGCUCGGAGAAGCAGUUCCUUCUCCUGCACCUGCCGCUCAACUGGUCCACCAGACUCGUGCGGCGGUCCAGUGAGUACUACAUGUACCAGGCCGUUCCAGGUAGACCACCGACGCUCUCCCGGAUUCCGGACCCACCGGGUCGUAGCUUCCUCGUGGCACGCGAUCUUGGCAUUCACUGUUGCGGCGACGGCGGGGAGUACAUCCUGGCUGGUCUGUGCCCGAGCCGUGAUGAUGCUCAAGGAGGAUAUGAACUUCACCUGUACUCGUCGGUGUCGAGAGCAUGGACCAGGAAACCUGCUUAUCUGGAGAAACCACCGAUUGAGGAGCAGCUUCCUGUUGCAUCGCACAAGGUAAUCCCCCUUGGAGGGAGCCUGCUAGGCUGGGUCGAUCUUUGGAGGGGUAUUAUGGUGUGCGACGUGCUCUCUGAUGAGACUUAUGCAUGCGUGUGGUUUGUCCCACUUCCCGGCCUGAUGCCUGGGAACGAGGCUGAUUGUCAUUUGUGCCCAUGGGUCAUUCGAGACAUCACUUGCAUCAAUGGAUCGUUCAAGUUAGUCGAGAUCGAACUUAUUUCUUUACCCCCAAAAAACAAAGAUGAAUAA